rnacentral:rRNA from 1 species
GUCGGAACGUGCCCUCCGGUCGGGGAUAGCGGCGGGAAACCGCCGGUAAUACCCGAUGAACUCGAGAGAGCAAAGGUGUGAUUCCGCCGGAGGAGCGGCCGACAUGGUAUUAGCUAGUUGGCGGGGUAAUGGCCCACCAAGGCUGUGAUGCCUAGGGGAUGUGAGAGCAUGAUCCCCACCAUUGGGACUGAGACACUGCCCAGACACCUACGGGUGGCUGCAGUCGAGAAUCUUCGUCAAUGGGCGAAAGCCUGAACGAGCGACGCCGCGUGCGGGAUGAAGGCCCUUGGGUUGUAAACCGCUGUCGAGGGGGAUGAAGGUCAAAGGGUACUCCUUUUGAUUUGACAGAGCCCAGAAGGAAGCACGGGCUAAGUUCGUGCCAGCAGCCGCGGUAAUACGAACUGUGCGAACGUUAUUCGGAAUCACUGGGCUUACAGGGUGCGUAGGCGGCCCGACAAGUCAGGUGUGAAAGCCCUCGGCUCAACCGAGGAACUGCGCUUGAAACUGUUGGGCUC